CGCCCUAUAUAUUAGAUAGUUUAAGUUCGACUUCCGAUACGAAUACCGAUACUAACAACAUGUCACGCGCAUGCUCUCUGCUCGCAAGAAGCACGAGGACAAGUGUAUUGGAAGUCACCACUACCGAAGUCGGCCUUGUAUUGGAAGUCGGGGGAAUUGUAAGAUAAACUCAUAUAAUUCGGAUAUUUCAUAAUUUUUACGAUAAACACGUAAACUAUUUGUUUAUUAGCAUCGCCUGAGUCAUGUUUUAGUCGGAAUUUUAGCUCAGCUGCCGUUUAGUAUACCGCACAUUUUCGGUGACGAUUAAUGUGUUCUAUUCUUUAUCUGUCGUGAUAACUUAACGCUUUAAAAUUCCCGGUACCAAAAUAAGAACGGAAGUGAAAACAUCGGUAUUGGUAUUGGUAUUCGAAGUCGAACUUAAACUCUCUGUUAGCGCCCUGGAUUCUACCAAACGCCACAUGUUUUUUGAAGUGCAACUACUAA
rnacentral:lncRNA from 1 species